CCGGUGGAAAAUUUUGAGCAUGUUCAAAACUUUGAACGGACGUCCAAUGGAUAAAAUGUCCGUUGAACAUCCGUUAGGCGUCCGUUUUGUACGGUACUCAUCAGUUUUGUUUCCGUUUUGUAUCCGUUACGUGUCCGUUAUACAUCCGUUGGAGGUCUGGAAGAUAAAUUCACCAACGGACUUCUACCGGACGUUUAACGGAUAAAACGGAUG
rnacentral:lncRNA from 1 species